rnacentral:rRNA from 1 species
CUACGGGAGGCAGCAGUAACGAAUAUUCCGCAAUGGACGAAAGUCUGACGGAGCGACGCCGCGUGUGGGAAGAAGUCCUUCGGGAUGUAAACCACUGUCAGGGAUUACCAAGCAAACAGGCCUAACAGGUCUGCGCGUUGAGGAGUCCCAGAGGAAGCCACGGCUAACUUCGUGCCAGCAGCCGCGGUAAUACGAAGGUGGCGAGCGUUGUUCGGAAUCAUUGGGCUUAAAGGGCACGCAGGCGGCCCAUCAAGUGUCUUGUGAAAUCCCCCGGCCCAACCGGGGAAUGGCUUGGCAAACUGAUGGGCUUGAGGUAGGUAAGGGCGCGGGGAACUCUUGGUGGAGCGGUGAUAUGCGUAGAUAUCAAGAGGAACGCCGGUGGUGAAGACGCCGCGCUAGGCCUGUCCUGACGCUGAGGUGCGAAAGCCAGGGGAGCGAACGGGAUUAGAUACCCCGGUAGUC